CCUACGGGUGGCAGCAGUGAGGAAUAUUGGUCAAUGGACGAGAGUCUGAACCAGCCAAGUAGCGUGAAGGAUGACUGCCCUAUGGGUUGUAAACUUCUUUUAUAUGGGAAUAAAAUGUUCCACGUGUGGGAUUUUGUAUGUACCAUCUGAAUAAGGAUCGGCUAACUCCGUGCCAGCAGCCGCGGUAAUACGGAGGAUACGAGCGUUAUCCGGAGUUAUUGGGGUUAAAGGGAGCGUAGGUGGAUUGUUAAGUCAGUUGUGAAAGUUUUCGGCUAAACCGUAAAAUUGCAUGUGAAACUGGCAGUCUUGAGUACAGUAGAGGUGGGCGGAAUUCGUGGUGUAGCGGUGAAAUGCUUAGAUAUCACGAAGAACUCCGAUUGCGAAGGCAGCUUACCGGUCUCCAUCUGACGCUGAGGCACGAAAGCGUGGGUAUCAAACAGGAUUAGAUACCCUUGUAGUC
rnacentral:rRNA from 1 species